GCCCGGGUGGCGAAAUUGGUAGACGCAAGAGACUUAAAAUCUCUCGGAGGUAUCCUCCGUGCCGGUUCAAGUCCGGCCCCGGGCA
rnacentral:tRNA from 1 species